GUCUUCUUCCUCUCUGCCUCAGUCUCUUCCUCUGUCUCUUUUCAGGGCUCACAAUUCUUCUCCCCAGGCCGUGGUUUCUUGUUUGCAACCUGGAUACAACUUUUUCCAGAUUUUCCUCUCCAUAAAUGCAAAUAUUCAGAUGGAGAAACUUGUUUCUACUCGAGAAUUCAUUGAUUUCAUCAACUUCUACAGCAACCCGCUUCGCUUGGUUCCAUUCUACUCCAACUUCAUUCGAGAAGUGGAAGAACAAAUGGACCUUCGAUGUAAAAAGCAGUCAACAACCAUCAAAGAAUUACAUCAGAUACGCAACACGUCAAAAGCGUGCUGAUACAAAGAAAGCCCUGAAAAACCUCCUCUUCAACAGUGGGUCCUCUAAAAAUUUCUUUCAGAACAUUCAGAAUGAAAAUGAUUCAGGAAGCUCUCCUCAGAAACAUAGGUCGAGAUCUUCUCGACAUGCUGAGAAAUCACACCCCAAGAAAACGAAACGCAAGUUCAAAAGAGAGAGUUUCUCCGAAGAUGGUGACAACAAUCCUGAGUCUAUCUUUCGUGCGACAUUUGGCAAGAAAUGGUACACCUGGUCUUUUGACUCAUGCCGUUACUCCUCUUUUAAACAUUCAGAAUCUGGAUUUGAGUGGUCAGAGCAAUCAAGCUGGAAAGAUAAAAGUAAAAGAUGGGAGAAUAGUAGUGACGUGGAGUCUGAUGAUGAAUCAUGUACUAUAGGAUCUUAUUCUGAUAGAACAAUUCUUGGUCUGCCUCCAACAGGUCCUUUAAAGACUGAAGAUGUUAAAAAAGCUAUUAUUUAAACAUAUGACUCCUUCUGGCAGUUUCCAUUUAUCAGCUUUAAAAUGGCAUCCUGACAAGCAUGAAGGCCCUUCACAGGCAAUGGCUGCAGAGAAAUUUAAACUUUGUGUUAAUGCUUACAAAUCUCUGUGCAAUGCACUAUCCCCAGCGUAAGCCGUUGGCUCAAAAGGUUCUGGUUUGAACAUUAACAGCUCCCUCUAUACCGGUUCUCUAUUCAAAAGGAAAUCCUCAUACAGAUUUGACCUAGUGCUGGACAUGGUAUCCAGAUCAAAGCGUUAGUGUACUUGAAUAGUAAUUUGAUUAAUUUAUUCAAAUUAUAUAUGCAUAAAGAUUGUACUGAAUCUUUUGACAAAUUUAUAAAGAAAAUUACAAUUCUUUUAGAGAUA